UACGUAGGGGGCGAGCGUUGUCCGGAAUCAUUGGGCGUAAAGAGCUCGUAGGCGGUUCAGUAAGUCGGCUGUGAAAUUCCGAGGCUCAACCCUCGGAACUGCAGUCGAUACUAUUGUGACUAGAGUCCGGUAGAGGAGAAUGGAAUUCCCGGUGUAGCGGUGAAAUGCGCAGAUAUCGGGAAGAACACCCGUGGCGAAGGCGGCUCUCUGGGACGGUACUGACGCUGAGACGCGAAAGCGUGGGGAGCGAACAGG
rnacentral:rRNA from 1 species